AUGCCGCCCAUGGUGCGCACAAGGAGCACCACCGCCGUCCCACUCCCACUCGCCGGCGGCACGGAGCUCCCGGAGCCCGGCCGGCUCGUCCCGCUGUCCCCGUUCGACGCGUUCUGGGUGGCGCUGCCCCCAGUCCGCCGCGUCUUCCUCUUCCGCUCCCUGCCAGGCGUCCCGUUCUCUGACGUCGCCGGCACCCUCAGGUCCUCCCUCGCGCAAGUGCUCCCAGCCUUCCACCCCUUCGCCGGCGCACUCACAUACUCGCCGGACUCGCGCGCUCUUUCGAUCGUCCUCCCGGACGAGUGGGAGGGCGGCUCCUGCGGAGGCGUCACGUUCGUCGAGGCCGAGGCGGACCUCGAUUUCGAGCGGCUCGUCGAGGAGGCGGCAGAACACGACCAGGACGCUCUCGGACAGCUUGUCCCGGACACCCGCCGGAACCAGCUCCCGGCGCCCGUGAUGGCCGCGCAGGUGACGGAGUUCGUCGGUGGCGGCGGUGGCGUGGCACUGGGGGUGGCCGUGCACCAUACGGCGGCGGACGGCCGCGGCAUUUGGCGGUUCUUGGAGAUGUGGGCGGCGGCAGCGGCCGGUGUUGAGGUUGGCCGGGUGCCCGCCGGGUCGGCUCCGCUGCAUGACCGGAGGCUGGUGCGGUUCCACGGCGACGAAGAGCUCGCCGGGCUGUUCUUGCGGCAAAUCGCCCCGAACUUGCCCACGAUUGCUCCGAGGCAAGAUCCCGCGCUCGACGGCCGGCGUCGCCUCAGCCGGCGAACCUUCACCUUCGCCGCGCCCGCGGUGCAGCGUCUCAAGCAGAGGCUUGCGUCCGCGGCGAACAUCGGCACGGCGCCGUCCACCUUCGCCGCCCUGGCGGCGCACGGGUGGGUGUCCAUCGCGCGCGCCAGCGGCUUCGCCGACGACGCACCGGUGUUCGCCGCCUUCCUCGCGGACUGCCGCGCCUACAUGUCGCCCCCGGCGCCGGACGCCUACGCCGGCAACUGCGUCGCGCUCUGCAUGGCCUCACUGUGCGGGUCGGUGCUCGCGGGGCCGGACGGGCCCGCCCGCGCGCUCCUGGCUGUCAGGGAGGCCGUCGCGGAGGUGAAGCGCGACCCGCUCCGCGACCGCGCCCGUUGGUGGACCAAGUUCACGGCCAUCCCGCCCGGCCGCAAGGUCGUCCUAGUAGGGUCGCCGUGGUUCCCCGCGUACGGGCCGGACUUCGGGUUCGGGAGGCCGGCGAGGGUGGAGCUGGCGUCCAUGAACCACGACGGCGAGAUGGUGCUCGUCGCCGGGAGGGAGGCCGGCUCGGUGCAGGCUUCAGUGUCGAUUGCCGCGGGGAAGAUGCAGGCGUUCCGCGACGUGUUCAUGGCUGAAUGA
rnacentral:rRNA from 1 species